AUACUCACUUUAGCCUUUAUAUGCAAAAUUUGAACAAUGCAGAGAAGAUUAACAUGGCCUCUACACAAGAGAUGACCACGCAAAUUCUCAAAGCAUUCCAUAUUUUU